GCUACGGGUGGCAGCAGUGAGGAAUAUUGGUCAAUGGACGCAAGUCUGAACCAGCCAUGCCGCGUGCAGGAAGACGGCUCUAUGAGUUGUAAACUGCUUUUGUACGAGGGUAAACGCAGACACGCGUGUCUGUCUGAAAGUACCGUACGAAUAAGGAUCGGCUAACUCCGUUCCAGCAGCCGCGGUAAUACGGAGGAUUCAAGCGUUAUCCGGAUUUAUUGGGUUUAAAGGGUGCGUAGGCGGUCUGAUAAGUUAGAGGUGAAAUCCCGGGGCUCAACUUCGGAAUUGCCUCUGAUACUGGUCGGCUUGAGAGUAGGUGAGGUAGGCGGAAUGGAUGGUGUAGCGGUGAAAUGCUUAGAGAUCAUACAGAACACCGAUUGCGAAGGCAGCUUACCAAGCUACUUCUGACGUUGAGGCACGAAAGCGUGGGGAGCGAACAGGAUUAGAUACCCCAGUAGUC
rnacentral:rRNA from 1 species